CCUACGGGAGGCAGCAGUGGGGAAUCUUGCGCAAUGCUCGUAAGAGUGACGCAGCGACGCCGCGUGAAUGACGAAGGCCUUCGGGUCGUAAAGUUCUUUCGACAGGGAAGAAAAUGCCUAUAAGUAACUGUGUAUGUAUUGACGGUACCUGUAUAAGCAGCCCCGGCUAACUCCGUGCCAGCAGCCGCGGUAAUACGGAGGGGGCGAGCGUUGUUCGGAGGGACUGGGCGUAAAGAGCACGUAGGCGGUGUUGUAAGUCAUUAGUCAAAGACUAGAGCUCAACUUUAGUAAGGCUAGUGAUACUAUAAUACUAGAGUAUCAGAGAGGAGUGCAGAAUUCCUGGUGUAGCGGUGAAAUGCGUAGAUAUCAGGAGGAAUACCGUUAGCGAAGGCGGCAAUCUGGCUGGAAACUGACGCUGAGGUGCGAAAGCGUGGGUAGCAAACAGGAUUAGAUACCCCUGUAGUC
rnacentral:rRNA from 1 species